rnacentral:rRNA from 1 species
GGGCCUGCACAAGCGGUGGAGUAUGUGGCUUAAUUCGAUGCAACGCGAAGAACCUUACCUGGCCUUGACAUGUAGUGGCCCGGGUGCGAAAUCACCCUUUUCUUCGGAACUGCUACACAGGUGCUGCAUGGCUGUCGUCAGCUCGUGUCGUGAGAUGUUGGGUUAAGUCCCGCAACGAGCGCAACCCCCGUGUUCUGUUGCCACCCGGAUGAGAAUCCGGAGCACUCUGGACAGACUGCCUGGUUUCAACCAGGAGGAAGGUGGGGAUGACGUCAAGUCAGUAUGGCCCUUACGGCCAGGGCUGCACACGUACUACAAUGCCCGGUACAAUGGGAAGCGAGACCGCGAGGUGGAGCAAAUCCUAAAAACCGGGCCCAGUUCAGAUUGUAGGCUGCAACUCGCCUACAUGAAGGAGGAAUCGCUAGUAA